rnacentral:rRNA from 1 species
CCUACGGGUGGCAGCAGUGGGGAAUAUUGGGCAAUGGGCGCAAGCCUGACCCAGCAAUGCCGCGUGAAGGAAGAAGGCUUUCGGGUUGUAAACUUCUUUGACAGGGGAAGAGCAGAAGACGGUACCCUGAAAACAAGCCACGGCUAACUACGUGCCAGCAGCCGCGGUAAUACGUAGGUGGCAAGGGUUGUCCGGAUUUACUGGGUGUAAAGGGCGUGUAGCCGGGAAGGCAAGUCAGAUGUGAAAUCUGGAGGCUCAACCUCCAAAUUGCAUUUGAAACUGUUUUUCUUGAGUACUGGAGAGGGAGACGGAAUUCCUGGUGUAGGGGUGAAAUGGGUAGGAAUAAGGAGGAAAACCGGGGGCGAGGGCGGUCGGCUGAACAGCAACUGCGGGUGAGGCGCGAAAGCGUGGGAGCAAACAGGAUUAGAUACCCUUGUAGUC